CCUACGGGAGGCAGCAGUAAGGAAUAUUGGACAAUGGACGCAAGUCUGAUCCAGCCAUGCCGCGUGAAGGAUUAAGGCCCUCUGGGUUGUAAACUUCUUUUAUAGGGGACGAAAAAAGGGCUUUCUAGCUCGACUGACGGUACCCUAUGAAUAAGCACCGGCUAACUCCGUGCCAGCAGCCGCGGUAAUACGGAGGGUGCAAGCGUUAUCCGGAUUCACUGGGUUUAAAGGGUGCGUAGGCGGGCAGUUAAGUCAGUGGUGAAAUCUUCGAGCUCAACUCGGAAACUGCCAUUGAUACUAUCUGUCUUGAAUAUUGUGGAGGUGAGCGGAAUAUGUCAUGUAGCGGUGAAAUGCUUAGAUAUGACAUAGAACACCGAUUGCGAAGGCAGCUCGCUACACAAAUAUUGACGCUGAGGCACGAAAGCGUGGGGAUCAAACAGGAUUAGAUACCCUGGUAGUCCACGCCCUAAACUAUGGAUACUCGACAUUUGCGAUACACAGUAAGUGUCUGAGNGAAGACGAUAAGUAUAACCUACCGUGGUUAGUUACGACCGACGAGUAGAAGACAGAGAGUUAGACGNGNGAGAGCGACGACGACGACGACGGAGGAGGAG
rnacentral:rRNA from 1 species